UUUUAAUAAUGGACCCUCACUUGUGCAAAAUUCAUUGAAAUAUUCAAGAUUUCAUUCAGAAAAACAAUUAAUUGUUUGACGGAUCACGAAAUCUUGUAUCUUUUUAAUAUAAACAAUUAGAAAAUACAGAGAAAUAAUUUUUUAAGACCGAGACCAACGAACCGAACACCAACUGCUUCGCGCUGACAUUGCACGUUGGAGUUUCGUGUGUGGCAUUUGUAUCUGAGGAAAAAAAAAAAAA